rnacentral:rRNA from 1 species
UGUAGAAGUUUGAUCMUGGCUCAGGACGAACGCYGGCGGCAUGCSUAAUACAUGCAAGUCGAACGAGCUUCCGUUGAAUGACGUGCUUGCACUGAUUUCAACAAUGAAGCGAGUGGCGAACUGGUGAGUAACACGUGGGRAAUCUGCCCAGAAGCAGGGGAUAACACUUGGAAACAGGUGCUAAUACCGUAUAACAACAAAAUCCGCAUGGAUUUUGUUUGAAAGGUGGCUUCGGCUAUCACUUCUGGAUGAUCCCGCGGCGUAUUAGUUAGUUGGUGAGGUAAAGGCCCACCAAGACRAUGAUACGUAGCCGACCUGAGAGGGUAAUCGGCCACAUUGGGACUGAGACACGGCCCAAACUCCUACGGGAGGCAGCAGUAGGGAAUCUUCCACAAUGGACGAAAGUCUGAUGGAGCAAUGCCGCGUGAGUGAAGAAGGGUUUCGGCUCGUAAAACUCUGUUGUUAAAGAAGAACACCUUUGAGAGUAACUGUUCAAGGGUUGACGGUAUUUAACCAGAAAGCCACGGCUAACUACGUGCCAGCAGCCGCGGUAAUACGUAGGUGGCAAGCGUUGUCCGGAUUUAUUGGGCGUAAAGCGAGCGCAGGCGGUUUUUUAAGUCUGAUGUGAAAGCCUUCGGCUUAACCGGAGAAGUGCAUCGGAAACUGGGAGACUUGAGUGCAGAAGAGGACAGUGGAACUCCAUGUGUAGCGGUGGAAUGCGUAGAUAUAUGGAAGAACACCAGUGGCGAAGGCGGCUGUCUAGUCUGUAACKACGCGAGGYCGAAAGGCRKGG